rnacentral:rRNA from 1 species
GCUUUACUGUAACUUGAGAUUGAAAUUGGACUUUAUUUGCGCAGUAUAGGUGGGAGACGUUGAGAAUACUCUUGCGGGAGUAUUGGAGUCAUCAGUGAGAUACCACUCUUGUAAUGUUAGAUUUCUAACUUUGUAUCAUUAUCUGGUCAAAGGACAGUUUCAGGCGGGCAGUUUGACUGGGGCGGUCGCCUCCCAAAUGGUAACGGAGGCGCACAAAGGUUUCCUCUGAACGUGUAGAAAUCGUAUCUAGAGUGUAAAGGCAUAAGGAAGCUUGACUGUGAGACCUACAAGUCGAGCAGGGACGAAAGUCGGUCUUAGUGAUCUGACGGUGCUG